AGAGAGAAGCUUCAAACAGGGGUGGACAAUGGAAGAGCAAACCAAACUAAGUGCUGGAGAGUUGUCAAAAACCAGGAACUGAACUCCCCUAACUCUUCCCCAAAAGAGGAGAGAGGAGGGGAUCAAUUCUGCCUUCCUAUCAAUUCCAAAUGAUCAGUGGGAAGGAAAGUUACUGACAGGUGUCAGUUAGGAUCUGUAGAAAGCCAUAAGCUAUAUAUGCCCUGAGUGUACACCACCUGCUGGGGACUCCUCCUGAACUCAGAGAGCUCCCGAGGUCUUUGUAGGGUAUCCCAGAUUUUUCCAUCAGGCACUUACAGAUUCUGAGUUAGUUUAAUGUUUCCUCACCUGUGCAGGGAUGUCUCAGGAUCUCUCUUUCCCCUGAACCCUGGAGGUCUGGGACCCACGGCUCUUCACCUCGUUCCAGCUGGGAAAUGACAUCAGGUUUUGAAACUGGAAACCCUGCUCAGAUGAAAGAAAACAAAUGCGAUCAGAAUUCUGCAGAACAGCCAGAGACCAGUUCCUCAAAGACAGCAAAGCUAUCACCUGGUUAAAUGGCCAUUCUCCAGCAGGGGGAAGGUGUGAACAAGAAAUGUACAUUCCAUCACAGGGAUGGCUUGACGCUCAGAUCCACGACAGACAGCCCGUCACCAUGACUCAGCUGAAAACUGAGGAUGCCUCUAGCACAAAGGACUGAAUAAGAAGAAGAGGUGGGGAAAAUGCUUGAGACUCUCUCUCCCUUUUUCUCUCUGCUCAUCACAACAACUCCUGAAGAACUGAAAUUGGGGAGGCAGGGUCCUGGCUGAAAGGAAACCCAGUUUAUCACAGCAUAUAGUGAGCGAAAGACAUUCGCUGUGAAUCUCUUUUAGCUAAAGUUAAAAGUUAGUGUUUUAUCUUAUUUCUUUUGUAACCAAGUCUGACAUUUAUGCCUCAUUACUUGUUGUCACUUACAAUCUUUUCUUUCUGUAGUUAAUGAAGUUGUUUCAUAGUUUCAUAUAACUAGUGUGUUUGGAUUAAAGUGUGUGAGAAACUCCACUUGGGCUAACAAGCCUAGUGCAUUCAUUUUCCACUGUUGAAGUGACAGACUUUGUAUGGCCUUGCAUUGUUUAGUAACGUGCCAGGGGGAAAAGUCUGGGACUAGCGAAUUUGCAGGUGUUCUCCGGCGGUAGAAUUCAUGAGUGGUUGACUAGCAGCACUCAACACUGUGCAGCUGAGAGCAAGUUACGUGCCGCAGACAGUGUGUUAACUGGCCAGGAGUGGCUGUUCCCACAGCAAAGCAGGAUAAAAAGCAGUAUAAAAUGGUCAUCAGCCAGGACGGGCUGGGCUGGAGUCUCUAGCCUGUUUGCCAGAAGCUGGGAAUGGGGGACAGGGGAUGGAUCACUUGAUGGUUACCUGUUAGGUUUACUCCCUCUGGGGCACCUGGCAUUGGCCACUGUCGGUAGACAGGAUAAUGGGCUAGAUGGACCAUUGGUCUGACCCAGUGUGGCAG
rnacentral:lncRNA from 1 species